GGGGGUAGUUGUUAGUACGUAGGCGCCAUGGAUGGGGAAUCGUGCAUGCUGAUACUAAGAGCCAGCAGUAUCUCCGAAAGAUUUCCUACCUCC
rfam:Glossina fuscipes fuscipes unplaced genomic scaffold Scaffold555, whole genome shotgun sequence.